CGAGGAGGUAGGGCUUACGCUUGCGUUUGUCUGUUAUAUCUUGGUGGACGAGUUGUCGCGGUUGGGACUGAGGUGCCUACAACGUGCUUUUGAGUGAGUUUGUGUCUCCGUGUGCGCCGUGUGCGGAUAGCUUGCUAUGUAUGUGCGGUUGUGUGUGGAUUGAUGCGGGCUUUAACUUGUCGCCGUUCGGGACGUUGGCGAAAUGGAGCGAUCCGACCCGUCUUGAAACACGGACCAAGGAGUCUAACAUGUGUGCAAGUGUUAGGGUGUGGAAACCCCAGCGCGAAAUGAAAGUGAAGGGCAGCGCAAGUUGUCUGAGGUAGGAAACGUUGCGGACCUCGGUCUGCGGCGUGGCACUAUCGACCGAUCAUGAACCUUCGUGGUGAAAGAUUUGAGUUUGAGCACAUAUGUUGGUACCCGAAAGAUGGUGAACUAUGCCUGAGUAGGGUGAAGCCAGGGGAAACUCUGGUGGAAGCUCGUAGCGAUUCUGACGUGCAAAUCGAUCGUCAAACUUGGGUAUAGGGGCGAAAGACUAAUCGAACCAUCUAGUAGCUGGUUCCCUCCGAAAUUUCCCUCAGGAUAGCAGCAACUUAUUUACGAUAGUUUUAUGAGGUAAAGCGAAUGAUUAGAGGAUUCGGGGAAGAAACUUCCUCGACCUAUUCUCAAACUUUAAAUCUGUAAGACCUGCAGGUUUCUUAAU
rnacentral:rRNA from 1 species